UGUUCGGAGAGUUUGAUCCUGGCUCAGGACGAACGCUGGCGGCGUGCUUAACACAUGCAAGUCGAACGAUGAUGCUCCAGCUUUGUUGGGGUGGAUUAGUGGCGAACGGGUGAGUAACACGUGAGUAACCUGCCCUCUUCUUUGGGAUAACGGUCGGAAACGGCUGCUAAUACUGGAUAUUCACUCAUUGGCGCAUGUUGGUGGGUGGAAAGGUUUUUUCUGGUGGGGGAUGGGCUCGCGGCCUAUCAGCUUGUUGGUGGGGUGAUGGCCUACCAAGGCUUUGACGGGUAA
rnacentral:rRNA from 1 species